rnacentral:rRNA from 1 species
AGUCAAGUAAUUAAGUGCAUGUGGUGGAUGCCUUGGCAGUCAGAGGCGAUGAAAGACGUGAUAGCCUGCGAAAAGCUCCGGGGAGGCGGCAAAUAUCCUUUGAUCCGGAGAUGUCUGAAUGGGGGAACCCACCUACUUUAAGGUAGGUAUUGCAACAUGAAUACAUAGUGUUGCAAGGCGAACGAGGGGAAGUGAAACAUCUCAGUACCCUUAGGAAAAGAAAUCAAUUGAGAUUCCCUCAGUAGCGGCGAGCGAACGGGGAUCAGCCCAUUAAGUUAUGUGUGUUUUAGUGGAACGCUCUGGGAAGUGCGAACGUAGAGGGUGAUAUUCCCGUACACGAAAGGGCACACAUAAUGAUGACGAGUAGGGCGAGGCACGUGAAACCUUGUCUGAAUAUGGGGGGACCAUCCUCCAAGGCUAAAUACUCCUGACUGACCGAUAGUGAACCAGUACCGUGAGGGAAAGGCGAAAAGAACCCCUGUGAGGGGAGUGAAAUAGAUCCUGAAACCGCAUGCAUACAAGCAGUGGGAGCACCUUCGUGGUGUGACUGCGUACCUUUUGUAUAAUGGGUCAGCGACUUAUAUUCAGUAGCGAGGUUAACCGUAUAGGGGAGCCGUAGAGAAAUCGAGUCUUAAUAGGGCGUUUAGUUGCUGGGUAUAGACCCGAAACCAGGCGAUCUAUCCAUGAGCAGGUUGAAGGUUGGGUAACACUAACUGGAGGACCGAACCCACUGUCGUUGAAAAGCCAGGGGAUGACUUGUGGAUAGGGGUGAAAGGCUAAUCAAGCCUGGUGAUAGCUGGUUCUCCCCGAAAGCUAUUUAGGUAGCGCCUCGGACGAAUACCAUAGGGGGUAGAGCACUGUUUCGGCUAGGGGGUCAUCCCGGCUUACCAAACCGAUGCAAACUCCGAAUACCUAUGAGUACUAUCCGGGAGACAGACUGCGGGUGCUAACGUCCGUAGUCAAGAGGAAAACAAUCCAGACCGCCAGCUAAGGCCCCAAAAUCAUAGUUAAGUGGGAAACGAUGUGGGAAGGCAUAGACAGCUAGGAGGUUGGCUUAGAAGCAGCCACCCUUUAAAGAAAGCGUAAUAGCUCACUAGUCGAGUCGGCCUGCGCGGAAGAUGUAACGGGGCUAAAACUAUGUGCCGAAGCUGCGGAUGUAUACUUUGUAUACGUGGUAGGGGAGCGUUCUGUAAGCCGAUGAAGGUGUGUUGAGAAGCAUGCUGGAGGUAUCAGAAGUGCGAAUGCUGACGUGAGUAACGACAAAACGGGUGAAAAACCCGUUCGCCGAAAGACCAAGGGUUCCAGUCCAACGUUAAUCGGGGCUGGGUGAGUCGACCCCUAAGGCGAGGCCGAAAGGCGUAGUCGAUGGGAAAAUGGUUAAUAUUCCAUUACUUCUGUGUAAUGCGAUGAGAGGACGGAGAAGGCUAAAUCAGCCUGGCGUUGGUUGUCCAGGUGAAAGGAUGUAGGCAUGUAUCUUAGGCAAAUCCGGGGUACUCUAUGCUGAGAUCUGAUAGCAAGCUGUACUUGUACAGCGAAGUGGUUGAUGCCAUGCUUCCAGGAAAAGUCUCUAAGCUUCAGUUACACAGGAAUCGUACCCGAAACCGACACAGGUGGUCAGGUCGAGUAGACCAAGGCGCUUGAGAGAACUCUGCUGAAGGAACUAGGCAAAAUGGUACCGUAACUUCGGGAGAAGGUACGCUGUUGUUGGUGAUGGAACUCGCUUCCUGAGCUGACGACAGCCGCAGAAACCAGGCCGCUGCAACUGUUUAUUAAAAACAUAGCACUCUGCAAACACGAAAGUGGACGUAUAGGGUGUGAUGCCUGCCCGGUGCUGGAAGGUUAAUUGAUGGGGUUAGCGUAAGCGAAGCUCUUGAUCGAAGCCCCAGUAAACGGCGGCCGUAACUAUAACGGUCCUAAGGUAGCGAAAUUCCUUGUCGGGUAAGUUCCGACCUGCACGAAUGGCAUAAUGAUGGCGGCGCUGUCUCCAGCAGAGGCUCAGUGAAAUCGAAAUCGCUGUGAAGAUGCAGUGUACCCGCGGCUAGACGGAAAGACCCCGUGAACCUUUACUGCAGCUUGACACUGAACUUUGACCUUACUUGUGUAGGAUAGGUGGGAGGCUUUGAAGCUGGAACGCUAGUUCCAGUGGAGCCGUCCUUGAAAUACCACCCUGGUAAUGUUGAGGUUCUAACUCUGUCCCGUGAUCCGGGACGAGGACCGUGUCUGGUGGGUAGUUUGACUGGGGCGGUCUCCUCCUAAAGAGUAACGGAGGAGUACGAAGGUGCGCUCAGCGUGGUCGGAAAUCACGCGUAGAGUAUAAAGGCAAAAGCGCGCUUAACUGCGAGACCCACAAGUCGAGCAGGUACGAAAGUAGGUCUUAGUGAUCCGGUGGUUCUGUAUGGAAGGGCCAUCGCUCAACGGAUAAAAGGUACUCUGGGGAUAACAGGCUGAUACCGCCCAAGAGUUCAUAUCGACGGCGGUGUUUGGCACCUCGAUGUCGGCUCAUCUCAUCCUGGGGCUGAAGCAGGUCCCAAGGGUAUGGCUGUUCGCCAUUUAAAGAGGUACGCGAGCUGGGUUUAGAACGUCGUGAGACAGUUCGGUCCCUAUCUACCGUGGGCGCUGGAAAUUUGAGAGGAUCUGCUCCUAGUACGAGAGGACCAGAGUGGACGAACCUCUGGUGUACCGGUUGUGACGCCAGUCGCAUCGCCGGGUAGCUAUGUUCGGAAGGGAUAACCGCUGAAAGCAUCUAAGCGGGAAGCCUACCUCAAGAUAAGAUUUCCCUAGGACUUUAUGUCCUCUAAAGAGCCGUUCGAGACUAGGACGUUGAUAGGUUGGAUGUGGAAGCAUAGUGAUAUGUGAAGCUGACCAAUACUAAUUGCUCGUGAGGCUUGACUAU